GAUUACCCAGCAUGGAGAUCUCGGAACAAGGCUGCUUGUUUACAGUGGAUGUAAUGAGGUUUCUGUGCUAGAGUUCAACUCCUUUUAGGAUUCUGAACAAAGAAAGGGAGCAUUGGAAGAGCCCUUCAAGUUACACCAUAAAUUGGACUUGCUGCCAAAAUCGGGAAGAAUCUAAGGCCUUGACUCGGUAGGUUGAGAGGAUCUUCCUUUGAUCAAGCAGCAGACAGGAACACAGUCCUAGGCAGCAUUUGACUGAAGCAGGAUUGACUACAUUGGCUCAACAUUCCCCACUACAGAUAUGGCAAGUGGAUAUGAGAUGAAAAAGACAACAGAAUAAAAGCUAAUGCUGACUGCUCAAGCACGGAUGACAUGGAAAUUGAUGCAAUUACUCUGGGUGGAAAGAAGAAAAAACAGACAGCAAGUCAAUGAUGACUCUACCAAGACUGCAGAGACAGGAGGCUUCGUAAGGAAUUGAAUUCCUUUUCCAUUGAGGAUGGACAAUAAGAGGUUUAUUCAGCCACUCAAGACCAUGUUGUUUGAAAUGGAGAACGGAAGCAUUUUCUUUCACUUUAAUUAGCAAAGAGGAGAAAGAUGCUCUGCUGUUCCCUGACUUCUCAUGGCCUGAAAAGGAGCUUUAAAUUCUAAACUGGCUAUAAGCCUGGAAUUCCUCAUUUGGAUUCUGCAAUGUGGAAGCCCAGUUCUGAGAAGCAGAAGAAAAUAGAACAAGACAGAAAGUGUUUGUGAUGAAUAAGAUUGGAUACAUGCACACUGAUAUCUCAUACUUGCUCUUCUUUUAAAUAGCAUUUGUCUUUGAGUGCCUGAGACUCCAUCUUUCUGAGCUUUAAAUUCUAAACUGGCUAUAAGCCUGGAAUUCCUCAUUUGGAUUCUGCAAUGUGGAAGCCCAGUUCUGAGAAGUUGAUGCUGUCAUGUUUACCCUGAGCCAUGAAGAUAGAGGAACAUCACACUCUGG